UGGUGGAGUGAUUUGUCUGGUUAAUUCCGUUAACGAACGAGACCUCAGCCUGCUAAAUAGUGACACGAUCCUUCCGGAUCGCGAUCGACUUCUUAGAGGGACAAUGUGUGUAUAACGCAUGGAAGUUUGAGGCAAUAACA
rnacentral:rRNA from 1 species